rnacentral:rRNA from 1 species
UGGGGAAUAUUGCACAAUGGGCGAAAGCCUGAUGCAGCAACGCCGCGUGAACGAUGAAGGCCUUCGGGUCGUAAAGUUCUGUCCUCAAGGAAGAUAAUGACGGUACUUGAGGAGGAAGCCCCGGCUAACUACGUGCCAGCAGCCGCGGUAAUACGUAGGGGGCUAGCGUUAUCCGGAUUUACUGGGCGUAAAGGGUGCGUAGGCGGUUUUUUAAGUCAGAAGUGAAAGGUUACGGCUUAACCGUAGUAAGCUUUUGAAACUGGAGAACUUGAGUGCAGGAGAGGAGAGUGGAAUUCCUAGUGUAGCGGUGAAAUGCGUAGAUAUUAGGAGGAACACCAGUAGCGAAGGCGGCUCUCUGGACUGUAACUGACGCUGAGGCACGAAAGCGUGGGGAGCAAACAGG